UUUGACUGGGGCGGUCUCCUCCUAAAGAGUAACGGAGGAGCACGAAGGUUGGCUAAUCCUGGUCGGACAUCAGGAGGUUAGUGCAAUGGCAUAAGCCAGCUUGACUGCGAGCGUGACGGCGCGAGCAGGUGCGAAAGCAGGUCAUAGUGAUCCGGUGGUUCUGAAUGGAAGGGCCAUCGCUCAACGGAUAAAAGGUACUCCGGGGAUAACAGGCUGAUACCGCCCAAGAGUUCAUAUCGACGGCGGUGUUUGGCACCUCGAUGUCGGCUCAUCACAUCCUGGGGCUGAAGUAGGUCCCAAGGGUAUGGCUGUUCGCCAUUUAAAGUGGUACGCGAGCUGGGUUUAGAACGUCGUGAGACAGUUCGGUCCCUAUCUGCCGUGGGCGCUGGAGAACUGAGGGGGGCUGCUCCUAGUACGAGAGGACCGGAGUGGACGCAUCACUGGUGUUCGGGUUGUCAUGCCAAUGGCACUGCCCGGUAGCUAAAUGCGGAAGAGAUAAGUGCUGAAAGCAUCUAAGCACGAAACUUGCCCCGAGAUGAGUUCUCCCUGACUCCUUGAGAGUCCUGAAGGAACGUUGAAGACGACGACGUUGAUAGGCCGGGUGUGUAAGCGCAGCGAUGCGUUG
rnacentral:rRNA from 1 species